rnacentral:rRNA from 1 species
GUGCCAGCCGCCGCGGUAAUACGUAGGUGGCAAGCGUUAUCCGGAAUUAUUGGGCGUAAAGCGCGCGUAGGCGGUUUUUUAAGUCUGAUGUGAAAGCCCACGGCUCAACCGUGGAGGGUCAUUGGAAACUGGAAAACUUGAGUGCAGAAGAGGAAAGUGGAACUCCAUGUGUAGCGGUGAAAUGCGCAGAGAUAUGGAGGAACACCAGUGGCGAAGGCGACUUUCUGGUCUGUAACUGACGCUGAUGUGCGAAAGCGUGGGGAUCAGACAGGAUUAGAU